CCUACGGGAGGCAGCAGUGAGGAAUAUUGGUCAAUGGACGAGAGUCUGAACCAGCCAAGUAGCGUGAAGGAUGACUGCCCUAUGGGUUGUAAACUUCUUUUAUAUGGGAAUAAAAUGUUCCACGUGUGGGAUUUUGUAUGUAUCCUAUGAAUAAGGAUCGGCUAACUUCGUGCCAGCAGCCGCGGUAAUAUGGAGGAUCCGAGCGUUUUCCGGAUUUAUUGGGUUUAAAGGGAGCGUAUGGGGAUUGUUAAGUCAGUUGUGAAAGUUUGCGGCUCAACCGUAAAAUUGCAGUUGAAACUGGCAGUCUUGAGUACAGUAGAGGUGGGCGGAAUUCGAGGUGUAGCGGUGAAAUGCUUAGAUAUCACGAAGAACUCCGAUUGCGAAGGCAGUUCACUGGACUGCAACUGACACUGAGGCUCGAAAGUGUGGGUAUCAAACAGGAUUAGAUACCCGGGUAGUC
rnacentral:rRNA from 1 species